AUGGCACCCGCUCCUUGGGGAUGGGGGCGGCGUGGCCCUGCGGCCUGGGGUCCCCCCCUCCCCGCGCGCGUCCCUGCCGCCCCGCGCAGGGCCUCACUGUGCGCCCUUUCUUGCAGGGAGACGCUGGGGCCGCGGGGCCCAAAGGAGACAAGGUGGGUCCCCGUGCGCCUGCCCCCCGGGGCCGGGAGGGGCGGGAGGGAGGGCAGUGGUGCUGCCCCCCCCCCUCUCCUGUCCCGUGCAGGGCGAUACCGUCGUGGUGGAGGGGCCCGCUGGAGCGCGGGGCAGCAAGGGGGAGCCGGUAAGAGCCUGUCCCCCUCCCAGUCCUCCCCGUCCCCCUCUGUCACCGCUCCCGUCCCCACGGGCAGGGCUCCUCUGUGCACCCCCCCUGCCCGCCCAGGCAGCUCCUGGCCUCGCGGGGCUGAGCCUGCACCCCUCUCUCCCAGCGCAUCGCAGGAGAGAUCCCUUCCCUCUCCCCAUCCCCUGACCCUCUCCCCAUCCCGACCCUCUCCCCAUCCCCUGACGCCCUCCCUCUGCUUCCCCCCCGCAGGGCGAGCGUGGCCUGAAGGGCACGGAAGGGGACAAGGGGAACAAGGGGGAGCAGGGCCUCCCCGGAGAGAAGGUAGGGGGCUGCAGGGAGGGCCGGGGGGGGCCGGGGCUUGUGCAGGGCUGGGCCCGCUUGCCUGGGACCAGCGGGCUGCGGAGGGGGCGACGGCUGCGAUGCCGGGGGACCGGAGCGUGCUGGUGUCCCUGUGCCCCCCCGUGCCGGCGCCUGUGGGCCCCAGGCACAGUGCACGGCGCCUGGCACGGUGCUCGGCACCCCGGCACGGGGAGCUGCCGGGGCCGGUCUCGGGCGCUGCCGCGGCCGUGCCGUGGCCGCAGACGUCCCCGCGGCCAUCGCGGUUUCCGCUCGCAGGGGACACAGGGCGAGCCAGGAGAGAAGGGCUCCACGGGCUUCCCCGGGGCGCGCGGCCCCAGCGGGCAGAAGGUGAGGACCUGGGCAGCCACCGCUGCUGCCGCCGCCACCGGGGUGUGCGGGGGGCAUGGGGCCCUCCGUCACCCCUGGCCUUCACCCGUGCCUUUGCCUUCACCUUCACCUUCGCCAGGGAGAAGUCGGCGCGUCGGGAGAGCCCGGCGAGCCGGUGA
rnacentral:lncRNA from 1 species